AUUGAACGCUGGCGGAAUGCUUUACACAUGCAAGUCGAACGAUGAAGCCUAGCUUGCUAGGUCGAUUAGUGGCGAACGGGUGAGUAAUAUAUCGGAACGUAUCCAAUAAUGGGGGAUAACUAGUCGAAAGAUUGGCUAAUACCGCAUACGUCCUACGGGAGAAAGCUGGGGAUCGUAAGACCUGGCGUUAAUGGAGCGGCCGAUAUCUGAUUAGCUAGUUGGUGAGGUAAAGGCUCACCAAGGCGACGAUCAGUAACUGGUCUGAGAGGACGACCAGCCACACUGGAACUGAGACACGGUCCAGACUCCUACGGGAGGCAGCAGUGGGGAAUUUUGGACAAUGGGCGAAAGCCUGAUCCAGCCAUUCCGCGUGAGUGAAGAAGGCCUUCGGGUUGUAAAGCUCUUUCGCAAGGGAAGAACACUUACUUAAUAACACUAAGUGAGGUUGACGGUACCUUGAUAAGAAGCACCGGCUAACUACGUGCCAGCCGCCGCAGUAACAC
rnacentral:rRNA from 1 species